rnacentral:misc_RNA from 1 species
AAGUCGUAACAAGGUUUCCGUAGGUGAACCUGCGGAAGGAUCAUUAUUGAAUGAACUUGGAGUCGGUUGUCGCUGGCUGUCUUAUUUGGCAGCAUGUGCACGCCUUCUCUUUUCAUCCACACACACCCCUGUGCACUUGUGAGACUGGAGACCGGUAAAAAAAGUCUUCAGUCUGCUAAAUCCAUAUACAAACCCAUUUAAUUGAACUGAAUGUAAAUUGAUGUAACGCAUCUUUAAACUAAGUUUCAAUAACGGAUCUCUUGGCUCUC